UCCGAAGGGGGCUAUCGUUGUUCGGAUUUACUGGGCGUAAAGCGCGUGUAGGCGGGCCGCUAAGUUAGGGGUGAAAUCCCGGAGCUCAACUCCGGAACUGCCUCUAAGACUGGCGGCCUGGAGCAGAGGAGAGGCGAGCGGAAUUCCGAGUGUAGAGGUGAAAUUCGUAGAUAUUCGGAGGAACACCAGUGGCGAAGGCGGGUCGCUGGACUCUUGCUGACGCUGAGACGCGAAAGCGUGGGGAGCAAACAGG
rnacentral:rRNA from 1 species